rnacentral:misc_RNA from 1 species
GAUGAAGAACGCAGCGAAAUGCGAUAAGUAAUGUGAAUUGCAGAAUUCAGUGAAUCAUCGAAUCUUUGAACGCACAUUGCGCCCGCCAGUAUUCUGGCGGGCAUGCCUGUCCGAGCGUCAUUUCAACCCUCGAACCCCUCCGGGGGGUCGGCGUUGGGGAUCGGCCCUGCCUCUUGGCGGUGGCCGUCUCCGAAAUACAGUGGCGGUCUCGCCGCAGCCUCUCCUGCGCAGUAGUUUGCACACUCGCAUCGGGAGCGCGGCGCGUCCACAGCCGUUAAACACCCAACUUCUGAAAUGUUGACCUCGGAUCAGGUAGGAAUACCCGCUGAACUUAAGAAUAUCAAUAAGCGGAGGA